rnacentral:rRNA from 1 species
AGAGUUUGAUCCUGGCUCAGAAUAAACGCUGGCGGCGUGCGUAACACAUGCAAGUCGUACGAGAAAGCCUGGAGCUUGCUUUGGGCGAGUAAAGUGGCGCACGGGUGAGUAACGCGUGGGUAAUCUACCUUCGAGUUUGGGAUAACCCUUCGAAAGGGGGGCUAAUACCGGAUGAUAUCUUAUUGACUAUGGUUGAUAAGAUGAAAGAUGGCCGCUCCAUGGAAGCUGUUGUUUGGAGAUGAGCCCGCGUACCAUUAGCUGGUUGGUGGGGUAACGGCCCACCAAGGCGAUGAUGGUUAGCUGGUCUGAGAGGAUGAUCAGCCACACUGGAACUGGAACACGGUCCAGACUCCUACGGGAGGCAGCAGUGAGGAAUUUUGCGCAAUGGGGGAAACCCUGACGCAGCAACGCCGCGUGAGUGAUGAAGGCUUUCGGGUCGUAAAGCUCUGUCGAGUGGGAAGAAAGUGGUAGCAGUCAACAGCUGUUAUCAUUGACGGUACCACCAAAGGAAGCACCGGCUAACUCCGUGCCAGCAGCCGCGGUAAUACGGAGGGUGCAAGCGUUAUUCGGAUUUACUGGGCGUAAAGGGCGCGCAGGCGGCUUUGUAAGUCAGUUGUGAAAGCCCGGGGCUUAACCCCGGAAGUGCGACUGAAACUGCGGGGCUUGAGUAUGGUAGAGGGAAGUGGAAUUCCUGGUGUA